GAAUGACUCCUGGCAAUGGAUAUCUUGGCUCUCGUGUCGAUGAAGAACGUAGCGAAAUGCGACACCUGGUGUGAAUUGCAGAAUCCCGUGAACCAUCGAGUCUUUGAAUGCAAGUUGCGCACGAGGCCAUUAGGUCGAGUGCACGUCUGUUUGGGCGUCAUGU
rnacentral:rRNA from 1 species